rnacentral:rRNA from 1 species
GAUGAACGCUGGCGGCGUGCCUAAUACAUGCAAGUCGAACGAACAGACGAGGAGCUUGCUCCUCUCACGUUAGCGGCGAACGGGUGAGUAACACGUGGAUAACCUACCUCUAACACUGGGAUAACCUCUGGAAACCACGUCUAAUACCGGAUACUAUAUUGGACCGCAUGGUUCACUCGUGGAAGACACUUUUGCUCUCACUUAUCGCUGGGUCCGCGCCGCAUUAGCUGGUUGGUAAGGUAACGGCGUACCAAGGCAACGAUGCGUAGCCGACCGGAGAGGGGGAUAGGCCACAUGGGAGGGGAGACAGGGACCAGGGGACUACGGGAGGCAGCAGUAGGGAAUGGUACGCAAUGGGCGAGAGCAUGACGGAGCAGCGCCGCGCGAGUUAUGAAGGCGCUCGGAGCGGAAAAAUCGGUUAUGAGGUAAGAACAAAUUUGUAAGUAGAAAUGGACGUAGUGACGGUACCUAAUGAGAAAGCCACGGCUAACUACGUG